GAUGAACGCUAGCUACAGGCUUAACACAUGCAAGUCGAGGGACCGGCGCACGGGUGAGUAACACGUAUCCAACCUGCCCUUUACUCGGGGAUAGCCUUUCGAAAGAAAGAUUAAUACCCGAUGUAAAGGAUAGGGAUGCGUUCAAUUAGGUUGUGGGUGAGGUAACGGCUCACCAAGCCUUCGAUGGAUAGGGGUUCUGAGAGGAAGGUCCCGCAAAGUGGAACUGAGACACGGUCCAAAAUCGUAAGGGAGGCAGAAGUGAGGAAUAGUGUUCAAUGGGCGUUAGCCUGACCCAGCCAAGUAGCGUGAAGGAUGAAGGCUUAUGGGUCGUAAACUUCUUUUAUAUAAGAAUAUGUAUUAUAUGAAUAAGGAUCGGCUAACUCCGUGCCAGCAGCCGCGGUAAUAC
rnacentral:rRNA from 1 species